rnacentral:misc_RNA from 1 species
AGCAGCCGCGGUAAUUCCAGCUCCAAUAGCGUAUAUUAAAGUUGUUGCAGUUAAAAGCUCGUAGUUGAAUUUCGGGAUUGACACAUCGGUCGUGCCUUAAGGGGUAUGAACUGGUGUAGUCAAUUUCUCACCUUCUGGAGAACCGCGAUGCCCUUAAUUGGGUGUCGCGGGGAACCAGGACCUUUACUUUGAAAAAUUAGAGUGUUUAAAGCAGGCAUUUUGCUUGAAUACAUUAGCAUGGAAUAAUAAAAUAGGACGGCAUGAUUCUAUUUUGUUGGUUUCUAGGAUCACCGUAAUGAUUAAUAGGGAUAGUUGGGGGCAUUAGUAUUCAAUUGUCAGAGGUGAAAUUCUUGGAUUUAUUGAAGACUAACUACUGCGAAAGCAUUUGCCAAGGAUGUUUUCAUUAAUCAAGAACGAAAGUUAGGGAUCGAAGACGAUCAGAUACCGUCGUAGUCUUAACCACAAACUAUGCCGACUAGGAAUCAGACGAUGUUUAAAUUUUUAAUGUACUCGUUUGGCU